rfam:Ovis aries breed Texel chromosome 17, whole genome shotgun sequence.
UCCACGGUGGUCUAGUUGUUAAGACUCUGAGCUUCUAAUGCCAGGGAUGCAGGUUCGAUUCCUGGUCAGGGAA